rnacentral:rRNA from 1 species
CAGUCGAGCGAGACCUUCGGGUCUAGCGGCGGACGGGUGAGUAACGCGUGGGAACGUGCCCUUUGCUACGGAAUAGUCCCGGGAAACUGGGUUUAAUACCGUAUGUGCCCUUCGGGGGAAAGAUUUAUCGGCAAAGGAUCGGCCCGCGUUGGAUUAGGUAGUUGGUGGGGUAAUGGCCUACCAAGCCGACGAUCCAUAGCUGGUUUGAGAGGAUGAUCAGCCACACUGGGACUGAGACACGGCCCAGACUCCUACGGGAGGCAGCAGUGGGGAAUCUUAGACAAUGGGGGCAACCCUGAUCUAACCGUGCCGCGUGAGUGAUGAAGGCCUUAGGGUUGUAAAGCUCUUUCAGCUGGGAAGAUAAUGACGG